rnacentral:rRNA from 1 species
UACGUAGGUGACAAGCGUUAUCCGGAAUUACUGGGCGUAAAGCGCACGCAGGCGGUGUGGUAAGUCUGAUGUGAAAUCUCCUGGCUUAACUGGGAGGGGUCAUUGGAAACUGCCGUACUUGAGGCGAUGAGAGGGGUGUAGAAUUCCCGGUGUAGUGGUGGAAUGCGUAGAUAUCGGGAGGAAUACCAGUGGCGAAAGCGACACCCUGGCAUUAGCCUGACGCUCAUGUGCGAAGGCGUGGGGAGCGAACGGG